UGAGACAGUUCGGUCCCUAUCUGCCGUGGGCGCUGGAGAAUUGAGGGGGGCUGCUCCUAGUACGAGAGGACCGGAGUGGACGCAUCACUGGUGUUCGGGUUGUCAUGCCAAUGGCACUGCCCGGUAGCUAAAUGCGGAAGAGAUAAGUGCUGAAAGCAUCUAAGCACGAAACUUGCCCCGAGAUGAGUUCUCCCUGACUCCUUGAGAGUCCUGAAGGAACGUUGAAGACGACGACGUUGAUAGGCCGGGUGUGUAAGCGCAGCGAUGCGUUGAGCUAACCGGUACUAAUGAACCGUGAGGCUUAACCUU
rnacentral:rRNA from 1 species